rnacentral:rRNA from 1 species
ACGGGAGGCAGCAGUGGGGAAUAUUAGGCAAUGGGGGCAACCCUGACCUAGCAACGCCGCGUGAAGGAAGAAGGUCUUCGGAUUGUAAACUUCUUUUAUGAGGGACGAAGGACGUGACGGUACCUCAUGAAUAAGCCACCGCUAACUACGUGCCAGCAGCCGCGGUAAUACGUAGGUGGCAAGCGUUAUCCGGAUUUACUGGGUGUAAAGGGCGCGUAGGCGGGGAUGCAAGUCAGGUGUGAAAUCUAUGGGCUCAACUCAUAAACUGCACUUGAAACUGUAUCUCUUGAGUGCUGGAGAGGUAGAUGGAAUUCCUUGUGUAGCGGUGAAAUGCGUAGAUAUAAGGAAGAACACCAGUGGCGAAGGCGAUCUACUGGACAGUAACUGACGCUGAGGCGCGAAAGCGUGGGGAGCAAACAGGAUUAGAUACCCUGGUA